rnacentral:lncRNA from 1 species
AGAAGUUACACCUUCGGUGAAAAUGUAUUUUUCUCAUUAUGAAAGCCUCAGACCAUGGGAAGAAUAACAGCAGUGUGCAAUUCUAACACUGUCAUGAACUUUUUUUUUUUUUUUUUUAAUGGUCGUACCCAUGGCAUAUGGAAGUUCCUUGGCCAGGGACUGAAUCUGAGCCGCAGCUGCGCCGGAUCCUUUAACCCACUAUGCCAGGCUGGGGAUCAAUUGCCCCUGCAGUGACUGGAGCCACUGUAUCAGCUUCUUUCUCUCUCUCUUUUUUUUGGUCUUUUCUAGGGCCGCACUGCCUGGGAACCUCCAUAUGCCGCGGGAUCGGCCCUAGAAAAGACAAAAAAAUAAAAAUAAAAUAAAAGUAAAAAAUAAAACUGAAACCCAUUUUUUUCCAUAAUUUCUAGUAUGACACUUCUAAAUCUCCUGUAUUCCUUUUUUUUUUCUUCCCCUCCUAUACUGCUUUUAACAAAGCUGGUAAAUGUGAACAGCAAGAGGCCCCCACUUAACAACAGAACACCUAUCGUUUUAUUCUCUUUUAUAUAGGAAAAAGAAGGGAAGCAUAACUGUGGGGAUUGUUAUAGUGAGCCCCUUUCUUUCUCAUGUGAAACAUACAUCUCUACUGAGAAUUGACUACAUCACUCCAGAUCCCGACCCCAGAUAAUCAGACUUUGUGUCACAAGCUUUUGUGAAGCUUGGGGUGGACAUGAGAGGGACUUAAUUAUUGAAGUAGGUUUUAUAGGAACUUAAAAGGAUGAAGAAGGCCAUGUCUAUCCCAAAGGAGCGCAGAGUCUAAUAGAAUAAAUAGGCUAAGCAAAAUUGUUCAUAAAUACAAGAAGAAUAAAGCAUAUAAUCAAGACAAUACAAGAAAAUAAAUACCACAAAUGCUAUGAAAAGUUUAUUGCAGGCUUAUAUAAGGCAGCUGUUUUAAGUAUAUCAUCUUUAAAACAAUCCUGAAAGAUAGGUUGUAUUGUCCUUAUUAUUCAGAUGAGAAGAUUUAACUCUGAGAGGUUAACAUUAUUAUCAUUUUUACCACCCAGCUAGCAAGUAGCGGAGCUGGGCUUCAAAUCAAGGUUUUCUUUCAUGUUCAGCACUCACUCUUUCCACUACAUCAUAGCUGCUUAGUGAUUUGAGAGAGAAUUAGCCAAGAAGUAAGUGUAAACGGUGGCCAGUAGCCAAGCUUGGCUUAGAGGUGUUUUUGUUUGGCCAGCAGCAGUUUAACUUUUUUGAAAAUGCAAACAUCUUUGGGUUGUGGCCAGCACUUUUGUCUUUAAGGUCAGAUACCAGACUCUCUUGAGACAGAUUACCUGCCUGGUUCCAGAAAGCAUUUGUAUUUUCUUGUACCAGCAGUAACUGAGUUAGAGAGGAGCAAGAGCUCUCAGAAGGCCCCGGGAGAAGGUAUGUCCAAGGGUGGAAGGAGGACAUUGUAAACAAGGGUUGCAGAGUAUUUGAGGAAACUUGAUUGACAAUCUUAAAAACAUUAAAUAUUUUUGUUCAACAUUUAAAAUGAAAGCCUAUUUUUUGUUUUAAAAUAUUUCAGACAUUCAAAUGUGUACAAAAAAAAUGUAAAAACCACUAUAUAAAAGUGACAGUGGUCUAGUACAGAGCUACAAGUUAUGCCUUGAGGACUUUCCCUCCUGGCACAGCAGGUUAGGAUCCUUUGGUGCUGCCGCUGUGGCACAGGCUGCAACUGCGGCACGGGUUUGAUUCCUGGCCUGGGAACUUGCACAUGCCUCAGGUGCAGCUGGAAAAAAAAAAAAGUUACACCUUGACAUAGCAGUUCUCAAACUUGAGUGAGCAUCAAAACCGAAUAUGAAACUAAAACACAUAUUAGUGGACCCCACCCCAGAAUGACUACAUGUGGGGUAGAGCUUGAGAAUUUGCAUUUCUAGCAAGUUCUCUGGUACUGCUGAUGCUGUUGGUCCAAAGAUCACACUUUGAAUAUCACUGCUUAGCAAACUGUAGGAUACUUUUAGGAAAGGGCUUACAGCCAAGACUUUGUUUCUGUGUUUGUAUUGUUUAAGUACAAAAAGAAUUACUUGACAUGGAAUAUUUAGAAAAUAAGUCUGUUAUCAGAGGUUACAAUUGUUGACAUUUUUGAUAGACUAUUUGCUUUUUUAUUAAAAAAAAAAGGUGGUAUACUUUUGUAAGAAACCAAAACUGGAUCAGCCUCAGCCUCAUAAUAAUAGCUAUUAACACUCACUGAGCAUCUGCUGUACACCAGGAUCUUUACAAAUAUUAAUCCUUAUAAUACCCUUAUGAGCCAAGUACCAUUAUGAUCAUUUUUAUUUUACAGAUCAGGAAACAAACACAGAGAAGUUAAGUAACUUGCUCUUUGUCUCAUUGCUAAUAAAUGGCAUAAUUAGGAUUAAAAAUCCAUAUAGUCUGGCUCCAGAAUACACUAAGCUAUUAUGCUAUAUUGACUCUUAGGCUGUUCUGACCAUUAUGCUAUACUACUAUGCACAUUGUUUUUAAUCUGUAUUCUUUAAUCAAUCAUGAACUGUCUUAAAAACAUUAAAUAUUCUUGUUCAACAUUUAAAAUGAAAGCCUAUUUUUUUAUUUUAAAAUAUUUCAGACAUUCAAAUGUGUACAAAAAAUAUAUAAAAACCACUACCAAGUUUAACAAAUAUUUAUAUUUCACCAUAUUUGCUUCAGAAUUCCCCCCUCUUCUAAAAUACAUACUCACAGAUUAAGUAAGACUAUGAUUUUGAGGUUAAAUUUUACUUAAACAAGAUUGUAUCUUAUGAGUUAUAAGGGAAAUAAGUUCCCUUAGUAAGAUAUCCUUUAAACUUAGUAAUAGAGGAAGAAUUUCUAUUUAGUGAACAACUCAUAGUUACUGUUGCCAUUAUAAUACUAUCCCCCUUAAACACCCUAGCCCAGGUGUGGCUUUAUUAAUGACUUGGUAAUAAAGGUAAUAAACAGAUAGUAACAUAAAGCUAGGUAAUGUGACAGUGUAUGGCUUACUCAGUUUUCAGGCUGCUUGGCCUUCCUCCACGUGGUGAAGGUCACAUUCCACCAGGGUGACAUCUCAGCAUUUCCCAAUAGAACUGUCUGCAGUGAUGGAAAAGUCCUUUGCCCGUCCUCUCCAAUAUGGCAGCCACUGGCCACGUGUGGCUGUUAGACACUUGAAGUGUGACUAGUGCACUGAGGGACUGAAUUGUUCAUUUGAUUCAAUUUAAAUUAAAGUAACCACAUUUGGCUUGUGGCUACCAUAUUGGGCAGCAAUAGAUCUAGGUCCUUAAAGGAUACAUUAAAAAUAAUGAGUUUCCCGGAGUUCCCACUGUGGCGCUACAGGAUUGGCCUCAUCUUGGGAGCGCUGGGAUGCAAGUUCCAUACCCGGUCUGGCACAAUGGGAUAAGGAUCCAGCAUUGCUGCAGCUAUGGCUUUGGUCAUGACUAUGGCUUGGAUCUGAUCCCUGGCCCUAGAACUCAGUAUGCUGUGGGGAGUUCCUGUCGUGGCGCAGUGGUUAACGAAUCCGACUAGGAACCAUGAGGUUGCAGGUUCGAUCCCUGCCCUUGCUCAGUGGGUUAACGAUCCGGCGUUGCUGUGAGCUGUGGUGUGAGCUGUGGUGUAGGUCGCAGACGCAGCUCGGAUUCCGCGUUGCUGUGGCUCUGGCGUAGGCUGGCAGCUCCAGCUCCGAUUGGACCCCUAGCCUGGGAAUCUCCAUAUGCUGCGGGAGCGGCCCAAGAAA